GACGAACGCUGGCGGCGUGCCUAAUACAUGCAAGUCGAGCGGGAAUUUUAUUGGUGCUUGCACCUUUGAAAUUUUAGCGGCGGACGGGUGAGUAACACGUGGGUAACCUACCUUAUAGAUUGGGAUAACUCCGGGAAACCGGGGCUAAUACCGAAUAAUACUUUUUAACACAUGUUUGAAAGUUGAAAGACGGUUUCGGCUGUCACUAUAAGAUGGACCCGCGGCGCAUUAGCUAGUUGGUGAGGUAACGGCUCACCAAGGCAACGAUGCGUAGCCGACCUGAGAGGGUGAUCGGCCACACUGGGACUGAGACACGGCCCAGACUCCUACGGGAGGCAGCAGUAGGGAAUCUUCCACAAUGGACGAAAGUCUGAUGGAGCAACGCCGCGUGAGUGAAGAAGGAUUUCGGUUCGUAAAACUCUGUUGCAAGGGAAGAACAAGUAGCGUAGUAACUGGCGCUACCUUGACGGUACCUUGUUAGAAAGCCACGGCUAACUACGUGCCAGCAGCCGCGGUAAAAC
rnacentral:rRNA from 1 species